UUUUUUUUUUGUAAUUUUUGUUAAGAGAGACCAAUUUGCUCAUUUUCAAAAUUGAUAGGGACCAAAAUGGUAUUUAUACUAAUAUAUUUUUCGAAUUAUUCGAGUCAUCCAAAUUGGAAAAAAUUCAACUCAAUUUGAACUCGAAAUCCGAAAUUUCUUAUUCGAGUUGACUCGAAUAAUUCAAAUAACUCAAAAUUUGAUUUUUUUGAUUUUUCGAUUCGAAUCGAAUUUUGCUCACCUCUAGUAGUGUUGGCAAUCUCACCAUCGGCACCAACAUAAAUUGUAGAAAACAUGUCACUUUCGUAUGAGAUUUUACACCUGAGUAUUUUUUAAAAUAAUUAAUUUAAUUGAGUCGGUUUUGAAAAAAAAAAGAGACUUUUUUAUUCAAUUUAUUUGAUCCAACUAGAUGAACUGAUUUUUAGUUCAAUUAAUUGAAUCAAUUAAUCAAAUUCAAUAUUUACAACUAUGCAUAUCAUGACCCCAUCAAUUGGUCGUUUACUCAACUCUUUUAACGUGUCAUACCAAGUUGCGAAGUGAAUUCUCAUAUUGGAGGUGAUCCUAGGUUCGAGCCUAAAAAAGUAUAUUUUUGAAAGACAAAAUCUUAAAGGAUUGAUGGGUACUCAAAAAAGACAAUAUUAACUUAUGUCUAAGACACUAAUGUAAAACAUGAUUAGCAAUAGGUUCGAUUGACAAUAUAAUGUGUCAAAUAGCACAAAAGAUCAAAUGUAUUAACUAAAUGAUACAAAAUAGGGUUGAAUUUGGUUCGAUUCUACCGUUGUUAUUUUUUAAAAAUCAUCCAUGAUAAUUUGAUUCAGUAUUUAGUUAUUUCAUAUUAAAUUGCAAUUUUUUAAAAUUAUUAAGAAAAUUUUGAAGUCUUUUCAUAAAUAUUUUAAAAUUUUUUAAAUAAAUAAAAAUAACCAAUAAUUUUUAAAUUUUAAAAGGAUAAAUUUUUAUAUAAUAUUUUAAGUUAUUUUCGCUAUUUUAUUUGUAUAUUAUAAGAAAUUAUAAUUAAUUACAAAUUAAAUAAAAAAAUAUAAUUUGAUUUGAUUCUAUUUGAAAAUUGGUGGAGAUCAAACCGUAAAAACAACGAAAUAGGAAAGAUAAAGAAGUAAAAGAGCAAAACCUAAAACUUGAAUAUAAAUCCGAUAUUUGUGGGAAUACAUUCCCACAUCGUGACGUCGUCUCUACUUUGCCGUUUCAAACAUUGUAGCGUCAGCCUGAGACUACUCAUCGGGCCUGUUUUGGGCCUUGUUCAAUUGCUCGUCGGUUGUUUCUAGGUGGCUAAAAAAAUUGGGAUAAAUACGAAUAAGACCCCAAAAAACACAAAAGCUAUUUCAAUAAAAAGGUUGGAAUCAACUUUUAGCUUCUUUGCUGGGCUCUAACUAGCGAACCCAUGGCAAUUAAUUAAGCAUUUUUCAUUAUCAAUGGAGAAGUGAUCGAUAGCAGGUAAAUCACUAGAACCCAAUAUAUGCACAUGUAUUUCGAGAAAUGAAGCAAGAAUCAUGUAUUAACGUAAGGCAAACUCACUGGCCGUCGACCGGCACUAGCUUGGACCUUGGUUCAUCGAUUCUCAGGUCAGUCGUCUCGUCCCCUCUUUCUCUCUUUCCCAGUCUGUUUAUAUGUUGUAAUAUACCUCCAAACCCAAUGGUGUUAAAGCUUUCGACCCUUAAACUAAAAUUUCCCAACAAAAUCCCGCCAUGGCUCAACUUCCCUGGCCGCUAUUUCUCCCUUUCGUACGCUGCAACUCUCCGGCCGAAGCCAGAAACCGACACUGACCCUCAAUCGCUUGACAAUUAUGAAGAAAAGAUAGGGUUUUUAAAGAAUAAUCUACACCCGGAUAACUUAAUCCGCGUUCUGGAUAAAACCCAAGAUUCGAAUUCAGCUCUCAAGAUAUUCAAAUGGGCUGCUUUGCAGAAAAGCUUUAACCACACCCCUGAUACGUCUUACCACAUCAGUUUAAAAUUGGGUUUGGCUGGAAAUGUUAAAGAAAUGGACAAUUUUUGUCUAAAUUUGGCGAGAGACAAAUGUGUAGGUUCGAGGGAGGCUCUUGCUUCAUUGGUUCAUACAUUCGUUAGGCAUUCUAGGCUCAAUGAGGCAAUUCGGAUUCUUGGGAACAUGACAUUAUGUGGGUUAAAUCCCUCUGUUGAUGUUUUUAAUGAUUUAUUGUGUGCUCUUGUUAAGAAAACAGAUUUUCAAAAUGUCUUGUUUGUUUACAAGGAGAUGGUGAAAGGGGGAAUUGUGCCCACAGUUGGUACUUUGAACUCUUUGUUGGAGAUAUUGUUUGAGACUAAUAGGGUCGAAUCGGGUUUGAAUCAGUUUAGGAGGAUGAACAAGAAAGGUUGUAGUCCUAAUGUUAGGACCUUCGAGAUUGUUAUUAAAGGUCUUGUUUUGAAUAAUAGAGUUGAUGAUGCAGUGCUCAUUUUGCAUGAAAUGUUGGAGCUAAAGUAUCAGCCUGAUGUGUGUUUUUAUACCUGUAUUAUCCCUUUGUUUUGUCAAGAGAACAGAUUAGAACAAGGAAUGCAGCUGUUUCAGCAGAUGAGAGCGGCUAAUUUGGUGCCGAAUUCAGUCAUUUGCAGGGAAUUGGUUCAUUGUUUAUGUAUGAACCUUCAUCUAGAUGAAGCUAUUAACAUUCUUGAAGAGAUGAUAGAAAUCAGUGAGAUUCCUCCCCUUGAUUCAUUUGUGGAUGUAAUGAAUGGUUUUUGUGAAGCCAAAAGAUACAAUGAAGCAAUGUGUUUCUUGGAGAAUAACUGUGGUAACUUAGGUUCUCCACAUAAAGCAUUGCUUGAAGGUUGUUGUAAGGCUGGUAAUUUUUUUCUAGGAAUAAGUCUUCUUGAGAAGAUGUCUGAGAGAGGUAUAGCUGAUUGUGAUUGUUGGAACAUUUUACUCAAUUGGAUUUGUGAGAAUGCGAGCAUCAAAAAAGCUUAUGAGCUUCUUGGAAGAAUGAUUGUACGGUCCGUAGUUCCUGAUUGUGGCACGUACGCAGCUCUUGUUGUAGGUAAUUGUAAUCUGAACAACUACGAGGAUGCUUUGGAGCUAUUUCAUUAUAUUCGGUCCAAAUUCUGGGUUUUGGACUCUAAAUGUUAUUCUAGGCUAGUUGAAGGUCUUUGCAGGCUAAACAGGAUUGAAGAGGCUGUCGUGGUAUAUUAUUACAUGUCUAAAAGUCAAUGUCCCCUUGAAGUCUCCACAUUCAACCUGAUGAUUGAGGCCACAUGUGAUGCCAGAAAGGUGGAUGAAGCAGUCAAGCUGAGGUCAUUGGCUUAUUAUUCUGGUACUUCCUGCUCUAGUGCGACUUACAUCAUCAUAAUGCUUGCCUUGCUUAAAUCCGAAAGGGCUAAAGACGUCUUGGUAAUGUUUUCCCAAAUGGUGAUCAGGGGUUGUAAAGUUCAUGCAGAAGUAUACUGUAUUCUAAUACGAAGUAUGUGUGCACUGAAUAGAUUUAAGGAUUGUGCUUUAUUUUGCAAGCUAAUGAUUAAUGAGGACCUCAUGCCUGAUUCGGGGACAAUACAUGACCUUCUCUCUUGUUUAACUAACCAUUCUCAGUUACAUUUGGUGUCAAAAGAUAUCGAUAAAAUUAUUUCUAGAAUGGAUAACUUGGAUUCAACUAUGUUUAAUCUGCUGAUUAAUGGCCUAUGGAAAGAAGGUUGCCGGAGUGAGGCUCGGAAUUUAUUAGAUGUGAUGUUGGAAAGGGGUUUUGUCCCGGAUGCUACAACUCAUUCGUUGUUCGUUGGAUCCGAUGUUGAAGGGGUAACAAGUAGGGGAAGACCAACAUAUGAAAAUCCGAUGGAUGAAGAUAAUGUUAGCAACAUCCUUGCUGAGGCAUUGGGGAAGUGAUAAAAAGCUUGAUACUCCGUAUGGUUUUUUAUUUGACCAUGCGCCCAUUCCUUGGUGGUUAUGCCUUCAUUUCUUACCCUCUAGAGGAUAAAAAGUCAUGACAUAGAUCUUUCUUCAAUGGCAUUCUAAUUAUGGUAAUGGCAGGUUAGUAUUAAGACACUUGAAUGCCUUUGUGCAUGUAACAGUAACUUAAAUGUUUCAAAAUCUUCAGAACUAGUACUUUGUUCUUGCAUGGUUGGGGGAGGGUACUGGUAAGUGGUAACUAUAUUCAAUCAUGUUUUUACAUGGAAAGGAUGCUUUUAAUGUUUCCUUUAGAUAUUGCUUAUGGGCAAGGGGGAAUCUAGGUACUUAAAAUCCAUGUUCUACAAGAAAUAAUUUAUUUGAUUCACAUCGGGGCAUGGAUGUGUUCGUGAAAAAUGUAACCCAGGAUUUUGUAGGAUCGUAGACAAACCGUUGAAGAAACACAAGCCUUCACUUGUCCAACAGCUGGAAAUUUAAACUUGUCCCGUUCUUGUUUUCAGGUGACUGAUUUCUAUUCCGACAUGGUAUCCCAAUUUGAUAUUAACUGUUAGUCAAGUAGUGGGAAGAGACACUUGUCCAAUUGCAACUGCUCAACUGGUAAUCUGGUGUGAUCUCUGGUGAACAAGGGUCAAUUCAAAGCUCCUCUUUCUUCCCCAAAGUUAGGUGGAUUACGCUAUGGACCGGUGGUAGAAGGCUGCAAACAAAGCUGAGUGCAAGGCUGGGACUGCUCUCUGUAUGUGCUGAAUAAACCCUUUUUUGUUGGGUACUGGCCUAUAGUCGAUACCCUUUCAGAUGUUAGGUUCAGUACGGAAACCAUCAAUGCUGCUGCAUAUACACAGUUGGCAUAUUCUUGUAUAUGUAACGAUUGCUUAGGCAAGCACAGUUGGCAUAUUCUUUGGGGAUGGAAAUGGAUUGUCUAGGGUUUGAUUGUUGAGGUUGAUGAUGGUAGGGAGGUUCAUACUCGUAUUACAAAUCCGAUUACUCUUGGUCAUAAUGAGAGUCAUAAUCUUCCAGUGGUGGUUGUAUACUAUUAUCCAAUCCUUCGAAUGAAUCAUAAGUGGAAAGACAAAAAAAAAUGUUGUAUGUAAAUGAAUGUUGAAUGUUGUAUUUAAAUAAAUGAUCUCGGCAAGGCCUAAGACGACCUAAAAAGCACUUGAUCACGAAUCACGAUCAACUAUGCAUGCCUAUACUUACGGUAUUGAAUAUUUACCUGUAAAAGUGGAAUUCCUUGGAAUGUAUAGUUGCAGCUUCAUAAAAUGGAUUUAACAAUCUGCCCUCAAAGCAUUCAAAUAGCGAUAUCCGAAUCUAAGUUGCACCAUACUCAGCAAGGCCAAAUGGAAAAGGAACACGUUCAUUCACAAAUUAAAAAAGUUAAAAACUGAGGUAGAAAACCUAACCAAUCUCUUUCUGAUAAUACAGUAACAAAAUUUGAUCCAAGUCGAUGGUAACAUUUAGCUUUCCAUCAACAUGGAUACAAAUAGCUACUUUAAAUAACCAAUCCUUCCCUACGAGUCACUGCCAUGUUCAUUAAUCAUAAAGUUUUUAACUAGAGACCAAGUAGAACUAGCAUUACACCUAAUAAAACUAUUUGACAUUGAAGAAGUACCAUUAGAUCCAUCAGCCAAACUGUGUCAUCCUUAACUCGAUCCCUAUCAAACACAAAAGUAGGACGACAGGUUAGUCCAAUGGCAACAGCAACAGAGCUAAACUUUUAGUUACAAAGGAUAACAGCAUUCACAGAAUUCAGUUAACUCAUCAAUGAUAUUCAUAUCAGGCAAUAGACAGCGUUACGAGGAAAAUGAAUCCUUGCAGAUACAUAUAAAUGACAACUGCAGAUGACCUGACAAAAAACUUAUAUGCCCCAAAUUCAGCAUUGCUAUGAGCAUGUGUCAUAAAAACAGUAAGAUAACUCCGUGGAAGCUGCAUGUACAAAUGCUCAUAAUAAGCUGUACAAGCUAAGAAAAAAGAAUAUGCUCUCUGCAUGAAAUAUGCAAUUGAAUAAUGUAAUGCCACUAAGUUUUGAUGUGUUCAAGGGAUAUGUGGUGCUAGCUUUCAGAAAGUUAAUACUUACAGUGGCCAACACUCUACAAGAGCUCUUUGCAAGUGGACUUGUUGUGCCCUAAACCCUUGCAUCUACUGCACUGUAGUUGACGCUUCAUUACCUCUGGUGUUCCAACUUUUUUUGUGGUGGGCCUACCUGGUGGACGGCGUGUUGGAGGAGGAGUUACAGUCACUAGAGCUGAUGAAGUAUCCUUCUGCAGAGGUCUCUCCACAUCUGGAAUAGGUUGUAUAGACUCUGCAUAGGUUAACCUGUAGCUCUCGGUUGUAAAGUAUCUGGAGCAAAAGUCAUAUGGGCUUCGUCCAAUGCAACUGAUAACGGCAAUAGCAUGAGAACAUGGUAAAGCUGUAAGUUGCCAACCUUUACAACUGCAAUCCCAUCGAUCCAUGUCAACCAUUUCAGUGGUGGAAUCACCACGGACCUCAAAUAUGCUACCAGAAGUCAGAAGCACUUGAAGCGUACGCACUUUCAAGCUCUCCUUUUCCAAUUUUUCCUCCAUGCAUGGAGUAAGCCUACUUACCCAAUGAUCAGACUCAGCCCUGCGGGAAUAAAUUAACUCCAUAACCCUUUGCCGUAUGACAUCAACCAUCUGAGUUAUAGGUAAUUCGUGUGCAUCUGACACCCAACUAUAAAAGAGUUCCCCAAAGUUUGAUGCCAUAUGGUUAUAUCUAGCACCCUGGAAAUAUGAAUUUGCCCAAUAUUGGGGCUCACUCUGAAUGAUCCAAUUGUAAGCUUCCAGUGAAAUUUUUUUGAUGCUGUUGAUAUACGAAUGGAAGGCUUCAGGUCUAGGUGCCAAAGCUGCAUUAUAAAGGUCGUCAAUCAUGAGCCGUUUCAUCUCAUGGGAAAACUGCCCUUUCAAGUCUCUAAUGAGCUGUUCAGUUAAGUAUCGGAGACAAUAACCAUGAAAUGAUCCCUUGAAAAUUUCAGAGAUUGACUCCCGUAAACCCUUCUGUAUGUCUGCAACAAAUGUUAUAGGACAAGAUGUUGACAGGGCAGCUUUCAGUUCUAACAAAAACCAAUACCAGUUCUCAUCAGUUUCAGCAUCAACGACAGAAAAGGCAACAGGAAAUACAUCAUCAUUCCCAUCCGCAGCGGUUGCUGCCAACAAGGUACCUUGAUAUUUGGAAUUCAAGGGUAUGCUAUCAAGAAAAAGGAGAGGUCUGCAACCUUGUAGAAAGCCGGACAGAGAAGCAUGGAAUGCGAUAAAGAGGCGAUGAAAACUAGAGUCUUCCUUAGUGGAGAAUGUAGCACAACUGCCUGGAUUGGUCUCCAUUAUCCUCUCGCAGAAAAGUGGUAACUGACUAUAUGCAUCCUUGUAUGAACCCUGAAGCUGCUCUCUAGCAAUUUCUUUGCCACGCCAAGCCUGAAAGUAGUUCAGUUGUAUGCCAAACUCCUGUUUAAUGUCUUGUACAAUAUCCUUGGGUUUGUAAGUUGGGAAAACUUUUAACCUCUCCUUGAUUAUACUAGCUACCCAACUCCUCGUUGCUUGAUGCCCGGUGGUCAAAGCAGCCCCUUCACAAGUAUGUGUUGGAUUCAUCUUCUUGAUACAUAUCAGUUGAGUGGUUGACAACCUUGAUGCAUGGAUUCUCCAAGGGCAGCCUUCUGCUCUGCACUUAACAGUCACACGGUGACUAUCGUUCUUUUUAUACCUGAAUGCGAACUGAUGUGCAAUGGCAUAUUUACGUAAUGUCUCACGAAAUUCCUGAACACCAGUGAAUCGUUGCCCCACCCCUGUAAUUGUAUUCUGCCACUGCUGAGUGGUUUUAGCAAGAGGAAGAAUAGAUGAAAACUCAGGUGCUAGAUCAAUGUGUGGAUCAAUAUGAUUGGUAGCAUCAACAAUAUCAAGAGAGGCCGCAAGAGGAAUAUUCGGUCGAGUGGUAUCAUCCAUAACAUCUAGAGGUGGAUCAAGCGAAACCAGAACCGGAGCUGGAGCCGGAGCCGGAGCCGGAUCCGGAGCUGGAGCCACUGCUUCAGACAAAGUUGUCCUGCUAGACCUGUAUAAAGGAAACUCUCAUCAGCAUUAAGGCUUUGCUUCAGACAUAUUUUUUUUUUCAACCCCAAGCAGAGCCUUAGUUAAUAAACCAAAGAAUUACAACUAAGCUUGAGCAUACAAAUAAAGAGAACUACCUACUGGCUGGCAUGUUGGAAACAUCAUGAGGAACAUUUUCCUCCAUUAGGAUAAACACAUCGACAGUGGUGGAAUUCCCAUGAAAUUUUAUUAACCGCUUUAAAUCCUUGUCAUUGGAGAUACUGAUGAGAGUCUUUUUAUUACCAGGGAGGAAGUAUUUAACAGACAUAGUACUCAUGUUAAAAUUAAACAUUUCUGCUAGUUCCUUCUUGAAGUCGUCGAACUUCGUUUGAUCAUCAAGGUCUAUCGCAUGAGCAUCUCCGCCUUUAUACAACAUCACCCCAUUCUUAUCAAUCUCAAACUCACCACCAGACUGACAAACCGCUAUCACCCUUUUGGUAGCCAUGACCUGCCAAUCAUUGAGAAUCAAAAAACACUUCAGAAUAACACCCAUAGAAACCAAACAAGUAAAGCAUAACAAGAAUUCUGAGUUCAGUGAUGACAUGCAGAUUAAAGCAAAGACAAAUUAAGGAUAGAUUUUAGGUAAUGUGGAAAACAUAGAAAAUAAAGAUGAAUUUAUAUUAUAAUAAAAAAAUUUGAGUGAAUCUAGUUCAUGUGGCUUACUUAUUGAUUUGUGCCCUAGCCUAGUCCGACCACAUUGAGUAUUCAGUAUUAUGAGUGUGUGUAUGUGUAUGUACAUAUCUAAAUCUGAAAAGGGUAAGUGAGGAACAGAGAAAAACAAUGAAAAUAACAAAUUUAUAAUUAGACCAAGAGACAUUAAACAAUAAUCCCAAUUUAGAUCAAAAAACGAAAUCCCACCUGACCGGAGGCGGAGUUUUCUGAAUUGAAAAUCAACCAAUCAGAACGUCGAUACUGCAAAGAUCAAAGAAGGGUAAGGAAUUUGAGAAACAUUGGAGGCCAAAAAUCUUUUCAAUUUUGUUUUAGGGCUCCGAUAUACGUGUAUAGGAACGAAGAAACCCUAAAAAAAUUAGGGAAAAAAGAGGGAAAGAAGAGGAAAGAUGAGAAAGAAGAAGGAAAGAUAUGCAAAAAUUAUUAGAGAAAAUUAGGAAAGAAAGGACCUUACCUUGAAAUUGUGAGUUUCUGAGGAUUAGAUUCUCAAAAUAAAAAUUUUCCCUUUUUUGUUUUUGGUUGAUGUUGUAAAAUUUGGGACUCUAUUUCUCUACCAUCUCUCCCUAUCGACGACAAAUCAGAGUCAAACAAAGAGGGGGAAAGGGUAUAUAUGUAAUUUCACACCCCUUCCAUUUUGGUACACAUUUAUUUCAUUUAAUUCUAAAAGGUGCAUUUAUAAAAUUAUUUUGUUAUGCGAGUGAGAAAAUUUAUAUAAAAUCAAAUCAAAUAAUAUACUCAGCAUUCAAUCCAAUAAAAUUAUAUUAAAUCUCGAAUUUAAUUAUCGAUUGAAUCUUUAUCCGUCAUCAGAGUUGGGUAAAUACAAAUUACAACUUUAUUUAAUAAUUAAUUAAAAUUAAUUAAUUAAUUAAAAAUUUUAUUUUUAAAUAUAUUUGAUAAUCUAUAAUAAAAUAUGAAAAUAUAAGCAAAUUUUAUCUAAUAAUUUUUUUAAUUUUUUUAAUAUUUUAAUAGGUUUAAAUUUUGAUUUUACUUAAAAUAAUAUAAAAUGUUUUUAAAAAAUAAGGAUAAAGAUGUAAAAUAAAAAUAUAUAUAUAAUUCCUUACUUAGUUUUAAGUAAUAUAAAAAAAAUUUAUAAGUCAAUUUUUCAUUUAAAGAUAUUAUUUAAAUUGUAAAAAUAAAAAUAUCAUCACUUUUAAUAUUUUUUAAAUUUUUAAAAUUUAAAAUACGUGCCACGUCAGCUAUGAACAAUACAACUUGUGUUGACGUGGUUGUCAAGAUUUUAUACUUCAUAAUGUUAGAGACGAUGACAGAGAUAAGAAUCAUAUUUUUAAAGGGUUUCUUUUUAAAAAGUGUAUAUCUUUAGGGUUAAUUGGCUAAUUUUUUAGUUGAGAAAUGAAAUUUAUCAUUGAUUAAUAUGUGGUAUUUUUCACUAAUUCUUUUAUCUUAAUAUUGAAUUUUGCUAAUCAACUUUAAAUCUUCACAUUCAAACAAAUUUAAUAAAAAAAUUGGGUAAACCACGAUAAAAGUCACCUAUUUAUGACAAAAACGAAGAAAAAAAAUAUAAUUUAGUAAUUACUAAUAUAAUUUAUCCAAAAAUAUUUUUCAAAAUUUAUUAUAAUAAUUUAAAUGAUAAAUUAAUGAAUAAAAGAUUAAAAACUGAUUUAUUAUUAAAAUUACAUAUUUGAAAGUUUCUUUUGGGGUUAAAUUUGUCUCAAAGUGUAAAACUCUAAUUAAAAAAUUGUUUAGUUGCAAAUUUUAAUUAUGUAGAAGUAAAGUUGGGUUACUUGUUCAACUCUAAAACCAUAUCUAAUAUUUGAAAGUUAAACCCAAAAUACAAUAUUUAAACCUCCAUUUCAAUUUUUAAAGCAAUAACCCAACCUAACAUGAAUAUGAUAUAAUAAAAAAUAAAUUACAUUUAAGAUCACUAAAUUAUUAGUAAAUUUAGUUUUAGUCAUUGAAAUAUUUUAAGUCACUAGAUUGUCAAGAAUUUUUUUUAAAAAAAAAAGUCUAACUAGCAAGCUUUAAAUGAGGAUUUAUACCCAUCAACGAGUAGAAAAAUAUUACUUAGAUCUAAGUUGAUCAAAAACCGAAGGAGGUUGUUUUGAUUUUAAUUUGUAAAAUCGUGAUGUUCAAAAUUGUUUCAUGACAAAAAAAAUUAUAGAAAAGUGGAGAAAUGAAAACUUUCAAUUGGUGCAGACGGUACGAAUAAAAAAGACCACAACAAUGAUUUUAAAAGCCUAGUGACUUAAAUAAAAACUAUCAAAUAGUUUUAUAACCAUUUUGCAAUUUUUUGAAAUUGAAUAGCUAAAACGUGAACUUAAUAAUAAUUUAGUGACAUUGGGUAUAAUUUGCCAUAUAAUAAACUAUUUAUAUCAUAUAAACGAUAAGGGUUUUUUUUUAAUCAACAAGGUCCCUUUGUAAGAUUAGACAUUGAACAAUACAUGUACAUGAUAACCAUGCUCUCCAACCAAAACCAACAUUAGACAAAAAGUUAAGCAAGUUGGAAUUAGAUAAGAGAGCUACAAAGCAAGCAAGGCGUUUACUUAUGCUAAAUUAAGGAAAUAACAUUCAUGCAUUUUGCAUGGUACCUAAACCAUGCCCAUGUCCAUGGCUGGCUAGCUGGUUGGCCGGCUCUUAUUCCGACGAAAGAGGAAAGACCACUAUUUCAGCUGCAAACAGGUAGAGCAAAAAAGCAGUAGUCCGUAAAAACAACUAACAAGUAAUUUUAUCUGUGAACUUUAAUUAUAGCAUUGUUAGUAUUGAUUUGUUGGAUAUAAUGAUAAGUGUUUCCUUGUUCCAUUCAUGAACCAGUCAAACAGAUAAGAACAGAUAAAAACAUGCAUACACUCUUAUUAGAAUCUUAUUAGAAGUUUAAUUAAUGUUUUUCACCAUUUGUCCUGUAAAAAUGUAGAAGCAUGUGGGAAUAGGAAUACAACAUACAGCCCUGCUUUAGGAAACUGGCUAGCUAGUAGUCUCCCUGUUAUCCUAAUCCAUUCAUCAUCCUUAGCCCCUAAAUGACAAGGAUGUGCAUGUCCUAUGUAAUAAAAAUGAUAAUGAUGAAACAUAAAAUAAGGUUAUGUCAGGUCUCAAAACUAGUACCGAACAACCUUCCACUGAAUUGUUAAUAGAAUAGAGGGGCAAUUGUGAAGGCUGCUUGAGUUAUAUGCUUAAUGUGCUAUCAUUUUGCAAUUUAUUUCACUCGAUAUUAUAUUCAAGCUGCCCCUAUACUUACUACCAAUUGGUUUUUAGUUUUGACGCUUAACAUGCCAUAUCCGGCAAAACACCACCAUUUCACAAAAUAAUGAAUGCAGCGGCUACACAACUGAUUUUAAUCAACAUUUGAAAACUGUUAAGCGCCCAACCUAAAACCAACCGGUAAAAGAUUAAGAGGUGCAUUUCAAUAUAAGAAUGGAUGCACCCACCUACACGUGGACAACCUCACUAGGAGUCAUCAACCUCAUAUGGGGUUAAGUAGGUAGAACAAUAUAACAAAACUUGAGCUCUAAUACCAUAUUAACCAUGCAAAUAAAAAGCAAUGAUGGUGGAAGGGCAACAUUAAUAUAAGAUCACAAAACCUGAUAUGUGAGAUGACACCACUUAACACUCCCCACGCCUGUAGCUACAGGACCUACACAUGGGCAACCUUAUAUGGGAUUAGGUGGGAAGAACAACAUAACAAAAUUUCGAGCUCUAAUACCACGUUAAGCAUCCAAACUAAAACAAUUGGUAAUAGGUGAAGAAGUAACUUUAAUAUUAAGACCACAAAACCUGAUAUGUGGGAUAACACCACUUAACAAAAAAAUUUAUAUUUCAACUUUCAACUAAAGGAUCAUGCUAGUGUAGUCAUGUUACUGUGAACAAGUCAUCUGAUGGUUUGGCUUCAAUGCUCUGCUCACAGCUAUGUUUGUCGAUUUAACUGCCUUAACAUUUAUCCAUUUCCUUUUCUCUCCCAACAAUAUGCUAUCAAAACAAAAAGAAAUGGGAAACAAAAGAAAGAAAAAUGCAAUCUCAAGUUGAUAUCUCUGACUUUGCUAAAUAAGUACAGUAUAAGCAGAGGUACAAUUUACUUUUAUAUCUAUUAGCAACCAAGUUCAGCAAGGAAAAAGUCUAAUAUGAUCAAAGCAGAGGUAACACGAGAAAAAUGCACGGGGAACAAUAAAGUAGUCAAUUCAUGAAGAAUAACCAUUUAGUGACAAUCUGUGAUUCGUAAAAGAAAUUACAGACGAUCUUUCACAGUUGCUGAAUAAUGUAUUUAUCGACUUAAAUAAAUAAAAAUACAUGGUUAUAGUAAAAUAUAUAAUUUCAAAAAGAAAUCAUAAACUGUGAUCUAAGUUAAGUCCAUUAUUGAAUGGUGACCAAAUAGAAUAAAUGACCAACAGCUUAUCUUCUAAAAAUUAUAUGAAACUGUAAACAAUAUCAUAUAUAGUGUUGAAAUGAAUUGUUUCAAUGUCCAAGGAGGAAGCUCUUGGGGUUCUUCAUAGUCUAGUAGGUAAUAUAGGGAGGGGCCGAGUGCUUGAGAAACACAGCCAAAAGAAAAAGGAGGGGGAGGGGAAGGGGAAGGGGAAUAGAAAUCACCUAUGUUGCUGGGGCUCUUCAUUUUUGUUGAACCAUAUGUGUCCAGACACUCAUAUGAGACACACGGAUACUAGAUAUGACCUCCAAUGAUUCUCCAGAUGCAUGAAAAAACUAAAAAAAGACUAAUCAUACCUAUAUUGUACACAUACCCGACACUCACACCUGAGCUGUCAGUGCUUAAGAAACACAGCCAAAAAAAAAGGAGGGAGGGAAGGGGCAUAGUAAUCACCUAUGUCGCUCGUGCUCUUCAUUUUUGUUGAAGUAUAGGUGUCUAACACUCGUGUUGGACACACAAAUACAAGAUAUGACCUUCAAUUACUCUCCAAAUGCAUGAAAAAACUUGAAAAAGACUAAUCAUACCCGUAUCCUACACUCACACCCGAGCUAAUCAGAACUUCAUAUAAAUUUCCAACAAGCAAUUAAAUUUAAUAUUUGGAUGAGGGAAGCAGCACAAACCUUAUGAAAUGGGAAGAGAAGCACAAGUGAAUGCAUUGUCAACGAGUUGAUUGAUUGCAUCCCUAAACUUGUAAUAAUCCUCAACCUUGUUAUAAACUUGAUAAGAAAUCCUCGCAUACCCUGUUACUACCCCACCUUCCUCCCCAUCCUUGGGUGGUCUAUAAUAUAUUGGAACCUCAACACCAAACUUGUCCCUUAAAAAAGACCUCAAUUCCAGAGCAUCAUGAUCACUUGAAAUCCCCAAACAAGCAGGUAAACCAACCAUGACCAUGCUUGAACACAUCUCUGGAGGACAACCAAGAUGAGUUCCCCAUGCUUUGACCAACAUCUGUCCCAUCUCAACAACAUAUUCAUGGUUCCUCUUCUUGAUCCCUUCAAUCCCACCUUCAAACCUAUUGAUGAAUUCCAAAACCUUUGGAACCACUAAGUAAGAACUGUAAUCCCUGGUCCCUAUCCAAGAACUUUCUAUGGCUAAACCAUUGCCAUAUUCAUGGGAAACGACCGGAUGGUGCAAAUCGGAGUUGUUUGUGGACUUUUUACAGUACAAAAAGGCAACAGACGGUGGGCAAAAGAACCACUUGUGCAAGUUGCUAGCGUAAAAGUCAGCUCCUAUUUGCUUCAUAUCAACGUCAACGCACCCAAUACCAUGAGCUGCAUCAACAAACACUUGGUCAACGCCUUCUUCCCUACAAAUGGUGACUAAUUCUUUAACGGGGAUGACCACGGUAGGCAUGGAAGUGACGUGGUCGAUGACAGCCAAUCUUACUUUCCUCCCGUUUUCUUUCCCUCUCCGUAAAGCUUGCCUGAACUCUUUCACGAUCUCGUCGACGGAGCUAACAGGAAAAGGCAAAGGGACCUCGAUAACAUACCCGCCGGCGCGCGUGACGUAAGCUUCGACGGACUUCUUGACGGCACCGUAAGCGUAGUGAAGCAUGACGGCGGCAUCCCCACGGCAGAACUUCCCCUCCGCGAAUCCCCAAGCGAUUUGCUGCAGUACAAUGGCGGCGGCGGUUGUGGCGUUGUCGACGAUAGAGACCUCGUCGACGUGGUCGGCGUUGAUGAUGUCCUUAAUUAUAGUUCUGGACUGGAUGAUCUUAGGCUGGAGCUGGUUGAAGUAGAAAUUGUCCGGCUGUCGGAGCCACUGGAGCUGUAGCUGGUUCUGAGCCGAGAGAACUAAAGAAGGGCAACACCCGAAGCUGCCGUUGUUAAUACGAGCGACGGCGGGGUCAUGGUGGGAAAAUUCGGAGAUGAUAUCAGAGGGAGUGAACAACGGCGGAGGGUCAGCAUACAAUCUGGGUUUCUUGGAAAUCUGGGACUUACCGUCGGAGGCGGAACCACCGUUCAAGGCGGUAGGAUUGGGGCAGAUUUGGGUAUGAUUACUAUGGAGGGAAGAAGCCAUGGGAAAGGGUCGAGGAAGAAACGAGUAGGACAAAGUUUCAACUUUCAGAUGACAAGCGAGUGAAAGAGUUAUUAAAAGACAUGUGUUUUGAAUUUUUCACCUCAAAACCAAAAAAGAAUAAAAAGCUUUUUACUAGUAGCAGUCCACCACUCAGUUUUAUUCUGUUAUUCAAUAAUGAUUGAGCAACAAAAAUUGAAUCAGUCAUUUCGAUUCACUCACCCACUGAGAUUAUUAUUGGAUUUUAUGUGUUUAAAUUCGGUUUUAUUCUUUAAAGCAAUGUUUAGAUGUCAUGGUUGAUUUUUAAUUAUAUAAUUAUAUUUUAGUAAUUUUUUAUGUUACUAGUACAUAAUUUUACUAUUUUUUAUUCUAAACUCGAAACCUUAAAUUCAAAUUUUAAAUUUUAAAUAUUGAUCUCAAACUUUGAAUUUUAAAUCCGUUCAAAGUUCAAGAUUUGAAGUUCAUGAUUCAAUUUCGACAUUUGAGAUUGGUGUUCGAUGUGCAGGGUUCAAAGUUUCGGGUUCAUAUUAGGGUUUAAGAUUUUGAGUUUGAGUUCAAGUUAAAGUUUGAGGUUAAAGGUUAAAAGUUUGAAGUUUAGGAUUUUGGAUUCUAGGUUUGAGUUUUGGGAUAAAAAAUUAUCAUAUCAUUUAAUAAUUGGAAAGGGACCAUAAAUGUAAUGAGAAGGUCCAUAAAAUAAUUUAUCAUCAUUUCGAUUCACUUACCAAAUCAGAUUAUAAUUGGAUUUUAUGUGUUUAUAUUUGAGUUUUAUUUAUUAAGGUAACUUUUAAAAAUUAAAAUUUAGGUGUAUUUAUUUGUAAUUAUUUGAGUAAUUAUUAUACUUUAUAGGUCUUACUAAAUUUAGUAUGAUUGAAGCAUCUAAUUAUACUUUUCAAUUCUUAAGAGAACAUGGGAAUUGGAGUAAUUAUGUAGAUAAUUAUACUCAAAUCCAAUUAUGCUAUAAGCAUGAACCUGUCUCAAUAUUUUGGAUGAUUAUAACAAAAUAUUUAGUAUUUUAUAAAUCCUAAAAAUUUAUAUUAUAUAAACAAUUUGUGUAUUUUAUAAUGUUAUAAAAAUAUUAUUUAAUUUUUUUAAAAAGAAAAUUAAAGUUAUAACCAAAAAGUUCAUUAUAAAAAAUAAUUUACAUGUUAUAAAAGUGUUAUAAUAUAUUUAUAUAUAAAAAAUUAUAGCAAGAAGUAUGCACAUAACUUAUUUACGUGUUCAUGUUAUACAUUAUAAAAAUAAUAUAUUUAUUCAUUAAAAAAUAGUUAUAGUUUUUUAUAAUAUUAUAUUAUUACACAAUUUAUAAAACCUUGUUUUUUAAAGCUUAUAUAUAUUUUAAAUUUUAUAUUAUUUUGACUUAAUUUAUUUAUUAUAAAAUGGAUAAAUUAUUUGAACUGUGAACCCAAAUAUUAUAAGAUUGAUGUUAAUUGUGCAAAUACAAAAUAUUUUCUUGCACCAUAUCAUGGGAUAUGAUAUCAUUUGAGAGAAUGGUGCCGGACACAAGCAUCAUAUACAACUUGUGAACUUUUUAAUUUGAGACAUUUAAGACUUUGAAACGUGGUUGAGAAGACAUCUGUUGUUUUAAAAAAUCAUAUUAAAAAUAUCACUUUAAUAUAGCAUAAAAAAAAUGUUAGAUCGUACUUGCAUGUUUCAUAUUUCAUGACUAUAAUCAUAGGUGGAUUCAGAUGAUUCAUACUUUGAAGAGUACGUGGAAGAACGAUAUCUUGAUCAUUUCAAUGAUAUAGAUUCAAAUUUAGAUGAUGGUGAAUUCGGUCAAGAACCAACAAACGAUGAUAGUGAGCAUAUGUUAAAUAUUAAAGAGGGACUAGCUUAACAAAUAUACACUAGAACAAUUAGACAAUAUUACAUAUAAUGUUUUUUUUUCUGUUAUUAUUAUUAGUAAUCAGAUUAUCAACUACUUUUUUAACUAACAUAAUACAUAUCAUUAUUUGAUUUUAGUUUUUGUUACUUGCUUAGAAAUUAUUUUUUAUCUUACUAAUAAUUUUUAUAGUAAUUAAUAUUUUUUAAAAUAUAAGUUAGGUUACUGUAUAAUUACUAUUUGUACUACCAAACAUUAUACAGGAAAUUAUGAUGUAAUUACACAUUGUGAGUCAAUCACGUCUAGGGAGUUACAAGAAAGUGUAAUUAUUACUUUAGUAAUUACACUAUCAUUCAAUUACUCUGUGCUAUCCAAACAAACCCCAAAAGUGCAUUUGGCUCUUCGAAAUAUAAGAUUAUAUUUCGUAAUAAGAUUACCUAAAUAUAAGAUUAUAGUGGAAUAUAAGAUUAUCUCAAUGUAAGAUUCAUGUGUUUUGUUAACAAAAUGGAAGGUUGCCUUGAAACACAUUUUACUCAAUUAUCCUUGCUAUAGAUUUUUUUUUAACAAGUUUACAUUCUUUAAUAUUUUUUUAGUCUAAAUAUUUAUAAAUUUACGAUAAAUUAUUACAAAUUUUACAUUUUAUUAACACCGAGUAUAAUUAUAUUAAUAACCAUAUUUAACAUAUUAAUAAAAAAUAUUAAAUAAAGUAUAAUAAUUAUAAUCGUAAUGUAUUACAUCUAUUGGUUCAUUGUUAAUAAAAUAUUGUUUGUUUUUAAUUAGUUGAAAUUUUUAUUUAAAAAAAGUCUAAAUUGAUUAAAAUAAUAAAAAAAAGUAAAUUGGUCCAAAUUUAAGAUUAUGCAUAUAACUUAAGAUAACCUAAGAAAUGGGAUUUAAUCUCAUGUCGUAAUGAGAUUACACCUAUAUUUCGGCAUUUUGGUACUAUUUCGUAACGUGAGAUUAUAUGAUGGCCGGAACAUUGACAAACCAAACACUGGAAUAUUAUUUCGGAAUAUUCGGUGAACCAAACACCCCUUGAGGGUUAUUUGAUUUUACACUCCGUAAUAAUGUUAGAAGCGGUAUGUUAUUGUUUAGUUCAUUUGACUAGAAUGUAAGAUAAUUUAGAGACAUUUUUAUUAAAUUGUUAUUGUUAUACAACUUUUUUUUUAACAAGCUUAUUUUCUUUAAUAUUUUUUAAUAUCAUUUUUCAUAAAAUUAUGAUAAAUUAUUGUAUUUUUUUAUUUUUUAUUACAUUUCAUAUAUUAAUAAGUAAAUAUAUUAUGUUGAAAUGUAAUAAUUCUGUUAUACACCUCUGCUAAGAAGAAACGUGUCAGCACAAGAGGCAUUGUUGACUCCACAUUGACUCCCUGAGCACAACCAUCGUCCCAUUUCGAACAAGGUCUACCACCAGAGCUUAAAAGUGAAUGUUAUUCUAAUGUGAAUACACUUUCAAGACAAUAAGGAGUAUAUUUAGGCUUAAGUAUCACAUAUUGAUAGAAUCUCGUGAUACAUAUUUAUGAUUAUCCGUUGCUCAUUUAAUGAGAUUAGAUGCUUAUCUAGUCAUAUCAUAUCAAUGGAUAAAAUGACCUCUCCUAUGAAUACCAAAAAAACUAUGAGCAUAGCACCCUAAAGAUACUUUGAGCAAUUAUCUUUUCAACCAGCCUGUCCUUUUAUCAUUGUUCUAACUCUUGACCUCUACAGGUGAACCAAUCUUUAUUAUCCACUUUGGUUUCCUCUUUGUCCUCCUCCAAGGGAGUAGCCAGGGGAGCCUGGCAUGGGCCCCGGCCCCAGUCCCCCUAAAAUGAAAAAUUUUAUUUUAGACCCUUAAAAUUUUUUAAAAAUUUUAAAUUAAUAAAGGUAAAAUUGCACUUUGCCCCCCCUAAAAUUAUAAAAAUCCAAUUUAAUCCUUUACAAAUUAUAAAAAUAUAAACUAUAAAAAAUUAAAAUUUCAUCCGGCCCCUCCUAAAAAAAUUUUCUGGCUUCACCCCUGUCCUCCUCCCUUAUUGCCUCACUAACAAUAAUUAUAAUUAUAACCAUGACAUCCAUUGUUUCACUGUUAAAAAAAUAAUAAUUUUGUUUUUAAUUAGUCUCGAAUAUUUGAGAAAAAAAACUUAAAUUGAUUAAAAUAAUAAAAAUAAAAAAGGUAAAUUGUUUCAAAAUUUAAGACACUCGUAAUCUAAUAUUAUCUAAGGAAUAAGUUGUAAUCGCAUUACACUUUAUAUAUGACAUCUUAACACUAUUUCAGAAUGUAAGAUUCGAGGGGAUUAGAAAGCUGAGGAUCCUAACAAUGAAAACUUAUCAUGGAAUGUAGCAUUACGAUCGUAAUAUAUAUAUUUUUUAAUUUUAAAAUUUCAAAAAAAAUAAAUACUGACAUGUUACCCACUUGGCAAUUCACGUGUAUAUCGCAUUAGUAAAGUUAAAAAAUAUCAACUUUUUCAUCAAUUUUAGAGUGAUUUGACAAAAACACAAGUUUAAGGACUAAAAAGACAAAAAUUUAAAAUGAGGGCUAAAAUGAUUUCUUUUUCAAAGCUUCAGGGCCAAAUAAGUCAUUAUGCCAAUCGAAUUUAUAAUUAAAUCGGUCAAAUAAUUGGUUUUCGAUUCAAUCAAUCCAACUAAUUUAUCUAGUUUAACUAAAAAAUUGUUAUAAAAACAUAGAAAUUAAAAAUAGAAAAUUUCCAAUUCAAACCAAUUCACAAAUCAAUCAAUCAAACUCUUUAUUCCAAAUCGAUACUCAACUAAUACAUUUCAAUGUAACUAAUCUAAUUCAAUUCUAAAAACAGUAAUUUUAUGUUAAAUAGCUGUCGACAGGCCUAGUAAAUAGUUUUUCUUAUAUAUAUAUAUUGGUUAAUGGUUGAUUAUAAAAACAUAUACUGGUGGUGAAAAUUUUUAAUUUUUUAAUUAUAAUUAAAAAUAAAUAAAUAAGGUAGUGUCUCACAUGACUUGCACGUGCUCUCUAUUUUCUUUUCUUUUCUUUUAUUACAUUGUUGUUGGAUAAAAACAAAACAUUAAAAAAGUCUGUCCCUGUCAUGUCCUUAUCCUUGCUACGUGUCGUUAAGUGUACUUGCAUAAACUAAAGGGUUACCCUUUUUAUUUUAUUUUAUUUUUUUAUUUUAGAUUUUUAGUUCUAUCUAUCAUAAUUUAUAUUGGAUUUUGUUAACUCUACAAUCAUAUUUACAAAAUCUUCAUCUAUUUUUAUUAAUGUUUAGUAAAUAAAAAUAAAAAUAAAAUAAAAUUUUGUAAAAUUAAAAAACUCCAAGGCUAGUGGCGAAUUAUAAAAAUAUAGGUUAUUAAAAUAAUAAAAUUACAUUUUUAUUGUUGUAAAAAUAUAUAGUUUAAUUUCGGCCCUCCUUAAAAAAUUUCUAGUUUCGUCCCUAUUUGAGGCAAGUAUAUUAAAUAAUAAAUUUUUAUGUUUUAACUUUUAAAACCUGAUUCGAUACCAGAGAAUGUAACAACGCGUAAUAAAAGGUUAGAUUGUAAAAAGAUUCCUGUAUUUUACGAUAUUAAUAGAUUUUGUCCCUUUCAACAUAUUUAUUUUCGAUCUAGGAAUCAACUUUUUUUUGUUAAUUCAAUCAAAUAAUUUAGUAUACCUUUUUAAAAAAAACAUAUGAUUAUUUGGUAUAUUAAUAUUGAUUUUUUAUAAUUUAACAAACAUUAUAGUUUUUUUUAAAUGUGCAAAAUGAAAAUUUCCCAAUUUUUAUAAAAAAAAUAUUAAGAUAAAAAAUCAAUUCAUCACAAUUUUUUUUAAAAAAAGUCGUUUUUUUAUUAAAUUAACAAAAAAAACAAGUUGAUUUGCAAACAUACAUUUCAAAAGGUAAAUAUAUAUAUAUAAACAUAAUCAAAUCUAUACUAUAUAAAAUAUUUGAUUGAGUUAUUGUCAUGAGAUAAUCGAACAUCGAACAACAAUUUUAUCAGAAAAGUCUUGUUCAUAUAAGUACAACAAUGAUGAGAAUAAUGAGAAAGUAAGGAGGAGUUAUUGAUUAUUUUGUGGAAGUCGAUUUACCUAAUGAGGCGGAGAGCCAAAAAGGAACAAGAUGUAAGACUACUGCGAGAGAGAGAAAGAUUUGCGUAAAGUAAAUUUAGGGUUGAAAAGUCAAUCCCUUAUUUAUCGUUGAAAGGGUAUUUAUUGAAUAUAUCCUAUUAUCCACUAGUGAGAUAUGACAAAUUGUUAUAAGAAAAGCUGUCAUCAUGCAAAGUAUAAAGGACGUGCACUGUGAGACUUAUUCUGCACUAAAUUAAUACGAGAUUAUUAUGCUUAAAUGGACCCCUUGUUGCAUUGAAAAUGUGUUCACACCUAAAAAUGAGCAUCUUAGAAGAUUGUCCAUGUUUAGCAUGGAAUAUGGUUGAUAAAAAAUAAGAACAAUAAGUUAACAAAAUUUGGCAAAAACUAACAACAAUAAUGAUUGGAUUUAGAUUUUUAAAUUAAAAAAUUUAAAAAGAUUGAAUUUUUAACUUUUAAAUUUUAGGGACUAAAUUUCAAACUCUAUAUACAUAUAUAGGGACAACAUCAUAUUUUAACCCAUAAUUUAAUCCAAAACAAGAUUAUGUAUGCAUAUAGUAUAAAUAGAUGGUCAACGCAUUAGGAGGCUUUAAUUUCUAAGCUUGAGUGUAGAUAUGACCUUAAGGUGAAUCAAUGGGUCACUCAUUUUGUUUAAUAAAAAAUAAAAUAAUAACUUUUUUAUUUUGUAUAUUUCAUGUCCAUUUUACAGUUUAUGUUCGAGAUUCGUGACUGCCCUUUCUAAUAAUGUCGUCUCCAAUGUUUGAACUUAAGUCCUUCCCUUGGAAGUGUGACGUGACUUACUAUUACAUCCAAUCACUUAUUGGUAAAAUAAAAUAAUAUUUGAUACAUGAUGAAUGUACCAUUUUUACACACCAUUAAUAAUAUUUUGUCAAAAUAAACCUCUUGUUGCAUUGAAAAUGUGCUUACACCUAAAAGCAUAUGCGCAUCUCGUUAUGUGAGCUUAUCAGGAUUGUUUAUCUAGCAAAAAAAACCUUGAAAAUGAAAAGAUUUCGCUCCUCUAAUUAAGACGGAUGGUCAACUAAAAUAUUAUCUCACAUGGAAUCAAAGCAGAUCAACACCUUCUGUCUUGUUAAAAUGUGUCCAAAUGACGAAGGAAUAUAACAAAUCUAAAAUAUCGUUACUUUAAUUAUUACAAUGAUAUUUAUAUUUUUAAUAGCUUACAAAAAUAAUUUACUUAAAAAUUAAAAAAUUAAGCUUUUUAUUUAUUUUUAUUUAGAAUUUUCAGUCUAAUCAUUAAAAUUAUAAAUGUUUUUUGUUAAAAUUUGUCAAACUUAGAAUUUGGAUUAGGUUAUCCAUAUAAUAUAAGAGUUUGGUUUUUAUUUUUAAAGGCUUAAUGAUAAAUUUAGUCACUAGUAUUUUCAUGUUUUAUCAAAAUAACCCUAAUUGUAUUUUUUAGUUUUUUUUUACAUCAACUUUUGAUUUUUUUUUCAAACUGUUUUCCUAUUUGAAAGGUUUCAAUAUUUCAUAUGUUUAUUUUCUAAGAGAUUUUUAUAUUGAGUUAAUUUUUUAGAUAAUUACCUUUAAAAAUUUUUAAUUUCAUGUAUUAUUUAUUUAUUUUAUUAUUUUUCACAUGUAAUUAUCUUAUAGGGUUAUUUAAGUAAUAAAUUACAUCUCAUUGAAAAUAUUUCAUGUAGGAAAUUUCACAUCAUCUCAAUUAACUUUUUUAACGGUUGGUGGCAAAAAAGGUUCAAAAAUACAAUUAAUACCAUUUUGAUAAAACUUGCAAACAUUAGUGACCAAAUUUAUUAUUAAACCUUUUUUAAAAUAUAAGAUUUUAAUUUUUUUAAAAUAUUAAAAUUUUCACAUCAAACACCAUCUUUAGUGACGUCACUUAUUUCUAAAAGCUAAUGCAAAAUGUGUGGAGAAAAAGAAAGCUAGCUAGUUGGUGGCUCUGUGGUGUGACUCAGUUCUAAAAUAUAUAUUUUUUUAAAUUUUAUAUUGGAUUUAAUUUAUUCAAAUAAUUUGUUUUAUUAUUUAAAAACAAUAAAAUAAAUUUCUCAAAAUAAAGUAUAAUUUAAUAUUAAUAUUUUAAAUAUUAUUUAGAAAGUUUGAAAUGUCAUGUAAUAAUUAAAUUUAGGAAUAUCUGCUUGUAAUUACAUAUUUGAUUAAUUACUCUAAUGGGUAGGUAUCACUGAAUUGGAUGUAAUUAGAGUAUUCAAUUAUACUAUUCUAUUUUUAAGAAAUAGUGAGAAUUGAAGUAAUUACGCUGGUAACUAUAAAAAAUUACAAUCAAAUUGCUUAAAAUGUUUAUUUUUCAAAAUACUAAAAUCGAUUAAAUACGAGAGAUAAUAUCUUAUAUAUUUUGAUCUACUAAAUAACUCACUAAAUUACAUAGUACUUAUUUAUUUUUAUGUUUUGUCAAUGAUCAAUAGAUAAUAACAAUGAUUAUAUGUUUAACGCUAAAGAGCAAUGGCGGAGCUAGGGGGCUUGUAGGGAUCCGACCCUCUAAAAUGGAAAAUUUUAAAUUAGUAAUGAUAAAAUUACACUUUGACCUCUCAAAAAAUGAUAAAAAAUGAUUUAAUCCUUUAAAAUUUAUAAAAAUACAGACUAUUAAAAUGGUGAAAUUACAUUUUUACUAUUGUAAAACUAUACAAUUUAAUUUCAAUCCCCAAAAAAUUCUAACUCCACCCUUGCUAGAGAGAGACCAAUUCAAUUAGUAUGAAAUAUCAGAGUAAUUAGAUAAAAUUGCUUAGAUAUUUAUUUAUUUUUAUUAAUUUUUUUAAUAAUCGUAUUGUCGAUUUUUAUACCAUGGUUUGAUUUUAAACUUUGUUUAUUGUUUAGAGUUUUAAACGACAUAAUCGUAUAGUUACAAUUUAUAGUAUCAAACAUGAUAUAGAGAUUUACGAUAUAUAAAAUAAGAUAAAUUUGCAGUUGUAUAAUUACAAUUUAAAUUAAAAAUCCACUUGAAUUUUAUUAUAUAUAAGUAAUUAUUUGAUAUAUUGGUAGUAAUUUUUAAUUAAAAAAACUACGCCAUGGAUGUACAUGAUAACCAUCCUUAUAUAUAGCAUAUUUAUAUAAUUAAUUAAAAUAAAUUAAAAGGUAUUUAUAUUUUAAAGAAUUUAGUGCUACUUUUAAAUUUAAAAAUUGUAGUUCAAUUAUUAAUAUCUUUAAAAUUUUUCUAUUAAAUUCAAGUUUAUUACAAUAGUUUCAUAACUAUUUUUUUUAUUUUAAAAUAUCACACCAUCGAAUUAAAAAUAAAAUUAGUUGUGUUAAAAAUUAAAUUUGAAUUUUUAAAGGACUAAAUUCUAAAUUUAUAAAAAAAUAUGAGAACUUAGAAGAUAAUUUUGUCUUCAAUUACAUUUCUUUUCUCAAGUAAACAUCGUUUUCAAUAGCCCCCUAUCUCAAUCAUAAUCCAUGAUUUUGUGCCCAAUGCCCCAGUCUUUUUAUCUAUUUAUGGUUUAAAAGUGCAAAAGGAAAAAAAUUAGUGUAAACUAUUAAAAUAGUUAUUUUUAUUUUUCUUAAGUUAUAUUUUAGUUAUUUAUAUUUGAAAUGUUAUGUUUUAGUCACUUACGAUAACGUGUUGUAAUAUUUUAGUCACUGAACCGAUAAUUAUCGUUAACGGUAUAACGGUAAGCUGAAAUGGUAAGCUGAAUCAUCAUUUCAAAUAAAAAUUUUAGGUUAAAUUAAACAAUUGGUCCCUAUAUUUUUCAUUUUGAGUAAUUUUAUUUUUUCUUUUAUGUUCUUUUAAUUUUUUUAAAACAAAAAAAUAUAGGGACCAACUAUAUAAUUUAAUCUAAAAUUUUUGUUUAAAACGAUGGUUUAACGUGCCAGAUCAGCUUACUGUUCCACCGUUAAUGACAAUUAAAACUCAAUGACUAAACUAUAAUAUUUCUAACAUAAUCAAUUAAAAUGUAACCUGAGAGAAAUAAAAAUAACUAUUUUAAUAAUUUACCUAAAAAAUUAUUAAUAUCCUUCUAUUACAAAGUCAUAAAAUCAUUUAACUUUAAAUUUAUUUUAAUAUUUUUUUGAAGGGAAAGCCUAAUUCCUCUUGAAUCCUUCAUGGCUUCAUUCAUUUAUGUUUUCUUUUGAUUAAAAACAGUGAUGAGAGUGAGUUACUAGUAGCAAUGGCUAACAGCUUGAAUUUGGGUUAUUUCUGAGCAAAAACAAAAAGGGUGUUUUCAGCCCUUCACCAUGCCUCUAUCCGAGCUAUAUCGGAUGGCUAGGGGGAAGCUCGAUUCAUCUCAAGACAAGAACCCUUCAAGUUCAACUGAUCCAUCUAUUGUGUAAGUUCAGUUUUACUCUAAUUCCUUGAUCUAUUUAAACAUUAUAAACUUCAUUUGUUACAUGGUGGAUUCAAUCAUAUCUGUUGUUUCUUUUUUGGCUGUAUGAUUGAUUGUAUCCCCUUUUGCUCUCUAUCUGUUCGAAUGCAGACCUGAGGAUGAUUUUGUUGAACUGGUUUGGGAGAAUGGUCAAAUUUCGAUGCAAGGUCAGUCUAGUAUAGCUAGAAAGGUUCCUGUUUGUAACAGCUUACAAUCCCACAGUUUUAAGAUUGGAGAUAAAUAUAUAGGCAAUGGAGGAAAUAGUUCAAAAAUGGGAAAGUUUGGGGUGGUGAAUGCGGUAUCGAGUGAAGUUCCAAUGUCGGCUCCGUCUCAUGAUGAUGAUGUGGUGCCUUGGUUAAAGUACUCAGAGAAUGAAUGUUGUGAUAUGUUGCCUGGAUUAUCUGGGCUCUGUACAAAUAACAUCCCAACUGAUAGUAGCUUAGCUUCAUUUAAUCAAAGACGCCAAUCCAUCAGUGAUUCCUUUUCUGGUUCUCUAAAUGCUGCUGCGGAUUUCAAACAAGGAAAGUUGGCAAAGGUUCCUAAACCGGCAGAUGACGAAGCUAGGCUGAGAAGUGGUACCAGUGAGUCGCCACAACUAUGUCAAGUGUCUUCAUCGUAUCUUGGAUCAAGAAAUUUGGAGAGUAUUGGUAAUAAGCCGAGCCAUGCCUUUUUCAGAGAUACGAUGGGAGUUCAACCGUCAGAUGAGACUUUGCGUUGUGUUAAGAUGCAGAAACAAGAUAAAGUUGCACCUUGUAAUAAUACUGUCUUGAUGAAUUUUUCCCAUUUUUCACGUCCUGCUGCUCUUGUUAAAGCUAGUCUUCAGAAUAUAGGUGCUAUGGCUAGGAUUGAGAGUAAGGAAACAGGGUUUGCAGCCAGUACUAGGGGGCCUGUUGGUUCCAAGGCCAUUGAUUCAAAUAUCAAGUUACAGAAGGAAACCUUUUCACGUUGCCAUUCUUCAAUAGUGCCGAUGAAGACUGAUAUAAAACAAUCUGAAGCUAAGUCUCUAGAUGAGCCAGUUGCUGCUGAACCAAAUAAUGCCAACUGUGAAGAAUAUGUCCCGAAAAGUGAUAAAAUAUCUAGUCAAGUUAUUGGUGAAAAUGCUUCCAAUUGCCUGCCAGAGAGUGGUAAGGCUGUAGAGUCUGUGCUUGCUGCUUCUGUUUGCUGUGAAAAUAGUGUAGAAAGAGCUUCUGACGAUCCAGUAGUAAAUAAUUUGAAGAGAAAAAACCAUGAUAAUGAGGAGUUUGAAUGUCCUAGCGAAGUAAGUUUUAGGAUAUAAUUUUAUUUCGUGUUGCUGUGCUUUUAACUCAUUUUUCCUUUGCCAUUGAAACCAACUAACCAAAUUAUGUGUAGGAUGCUGAAGAAGAAUCUGUAGGUGUGAAAAAAGCAGUUCCUGCUCGAGGAGGUAAGGGGUUCAAGAGAAGCCGAGCAGCUGAAGUGCAUAAUUUAUCUGAAAGGGUGAGGAAGAGCAUUUCAUUAGUUCAAUAAUUUGAUAUUUGUCUUUCAUAUGGCUGUUUCUGAUUGUAAGAUCUGGAUGGAAUUACACAAACAGAGGCGAAGGGAUAGGAUAAAUGAGAAGAUGCGUGCUUUACAGGAGCUCAUACCUAACUGCAAUAAGGUUGGUAAUACGGUAAACCUUUUUUUAAACUAAAUCAAGGGAUUUUUCUUAGAAACAGAUGUGAUUCUGGGAGUAGAUCAAUGAGCUCAUGGCAUAUCCUUGCUUAUUCUAUAAGUAGUUUAAAACAGACCAUCAAAGUCCUGAUAGCUUUUGUAUUUUAAAGCUGUUGACAUUUUAUAUUUUGACACUACAAGGUGGACAAAGCUUCAAUGCUUGAUGAAGCAAUUGAAUAUCUUAAGACGCUCCAACUACAAGUGCAGGUAAGAUCUCUGUCAUCUUUCUUCUAACUGCUCUUUUUGGUGUAUAUUUCAAUUUUGAUUCUCUGAAGGGUAAUCAAAUAAGUUCAAUUUAUUAAUUACCAACCUUUCGCAGAUUAUGUCUAUGCGAGCUGGCUUAUAUGUGCCACCGAUGAUGUUGCCAACUGGAAUGCAACACAUGCAUGCCACUCAAAUGGCGUAUUUUUCAUCCAUGGGUUUUGGAAUGGGUCUAGGUAUGGGUUUUGGGAUGCCAUUUCCUGAAACGAAUACUGUAGCUUCUGCUUGCCCUAUGGUUCAGGUGCCUCCAGUCUGUGGAGCACCUUUUUCUAGCCCAGGCCCUCAUUUGUCAGGUUCGACUGCAUUCCAUGAGAUGCCAGGAGCUAACCUCCGGCUAUAUGGUCUUCAUGGUCAAGGACUUCCAAUGUCGGUGCCAGGUGCACCUUUGUUUCCUAUUCCUGGUGGGCACCUCAUGAAAUCAGCCAUUGGAUUGAGUGCCUGUGGACUGGGAGGUCCUAUGGACAAUAUGGAUUCAGCUACAGCUUCUAGUUCAAAGGACCUAAUUCAGAAUAUCAACUCACAAGUGGCACAGAAUACUAACAUCAAUAGCUCAAUGAAUCAGACAUCUACUCAGGUUAGGAAAAUUUUCUUGUUUCUUUUCAAUUCAUAUUUUUCUUUAGAAAGAAAAAGAUAAGAAGAGUUCUAAUAUUUACUCAAGCGGGUUUCGGUUGCCACUAGGAGAAGGUUGUCUUGAGGCAAAAGAGAGAGCUAUUUCACAUGGUAGAGAAGCAUACCCUUGAUGACUAGUCAAUGUGAUAAUGAUUUCCAUGUAGACAAAUUCAUGGUAAACCUGACCAAUUUUUCUUGUUAGGUUAGAUUAAAGAAAUCUUUUAUCUUUUCAUCAAGGAGGAAGCACUAUGCUUCUUAGUUCUUAUAAUGCAGGAGUUGGAAUAUAUACGUUCACAGAUAAGGAUGGCAGAAGAAGGGUGUUGGAUUCUAUUAACUUGUCACUCAUCUGAACAUUUUGCUAUAUUUUUGGUCUAGCUGAAUUUAAUCAAAUUUGAUAUUCAUUUUGCGAUGCUAGUACCGAACAGCAAAUGAAAGUUUUCAACAGCCAGCUGAAGUGCAAGAGAAUGGUCGAGCCUCGGAAAUCACUGGUAGUGUACCUUUUAGAUCAACUGAUGGAGAUAAGAAGUUACCUGAUAGGUGAGAGCACUUUUGAUUCAUAUCAUGUUUUAUCAAAUUGUGGUUUGAAGAAAGUAUUAAACACCAAAUAUAUAUUUAAGUGUAGGUUAUAAUUGUUAGCUUUUUGAGCGGAGGAUUUGAAUCUAUUUUGCUUCAUGGGGAGGCUGAAGCUUUUUCUCUGCGAGGAUUGGACCUCUAUGGUGAUGAUGAUGGUCAACCGAAUACUAAUUUCAGCACAAUGCAAGUUAGAAUAUGCUCAGUUUUUGGUAUGUCAACGAGACUUGAAAUCGUUGCUUGCAUAUGUAAAUUCAUUAUCAAGGUCCAUCAUCCAUGCAAAUAAUGUCGGUCUAUCUAAGACAUAAAUAGAAUGUAUUCAAAAUGUUUGUUUUGGCCAACCUCUGGCUCUGGGUUACUGAUUUGUUGAAUUGAUGAAAUGAUUAUUAUUUGCUGUCACACACGCAUGUUUAUGGCUCUCAUCAACUUGUAGGUUGUUGCUUAGAAUCCUCUGUUUGAACAGAAGAGGGACCUUCAUGUACUUCGGUUACUCCUCCAUCCACGGUGCUUCCUUCCUCCACGAGAAGCGGUCCGGUACUCGAAUCCUUAGCUUUGGCUUCAGUAUGCUCAGGUUCUUCCUCCGCAACAAGCAUUCUGGUACUCAAAUCCUCACCUUUGGCUUCAGUAGGAUCAGGUACUUCCUCCAUGGGAAGCUGUUCGGUAGUCAAAUCCAUAGCUUUGGGUUCACUAUGAUCAGGUUCUUCUGUCUUGUAUUUGUACCAUGAGGCCCAGUACAAAUAGUUUAAAAAGUUUAGGCAGCUAAGGAUAGCUAAAAACCAGUAAAAGAGAUUUAAGUGACUCGAGUUUAAGUCUAAUCCAUGAAUCCAACCUUGUUUGCUUGAACUGGUUCUUUUCGUGAUGGCGUUUAUGACAUUGACGAACACUGUACUUAAGAAGUAGCCAAAAGAUAGUGUUAACCACGUAAAUGAUGUGGAGAGUGACCUCAUGCCUAUUGGUGCUUCCCUGUAGAAAAAUUCCAGCAGUCCCACAAGAGUGAACAUGUCUGCAAUUCCAAAUAUUCCAUAUUGAAAGGAGAGCCAGAAGAGGCUUAUGGGCUUCAUUAUGUCCCUAUGAGCUUGAUCCCUUCUUUUAACCUCAACAAUACCGGCAAUAGCCAUUGAAAUUGCUGACAGAACAAGCCCCACACCGACACGUUGGAGUUGUGUGAUGCCCGAUGGAUGUUUUGUGAUUUUUCGAGCAAAAGGGACAAAGAAAAACUCAUAGAUGGGGACCAGAAUGGACAUGAAAACCAGUGGGAUUAUCGGGAUCGAAGCAGCAGGAACGUUGAAAUUUCCAAUCUUGCGAUUCAUGAAAUUACCUUGCAUAACUGAGAAUGUCUGCAGCUGCGCCAGACAUGUGUUCAUUAUGACUGUACUGAAUAAAAUGGGCAACAUCCUGGUUAGUAUCUUAACUUCUUCAACUUGAGUCACUGUGCACACCGUCCAUGGUGUUGUCUUUGAAUCUUUCGGAACAAUUGCAGCUUUAUCUAGGAACCUGACCAAGAAUCAUGAAUCACAGUUGGUUUCCGAAAUUUUUUUUUAAACAUGUUUAGCUAUCAUACAGUCACAUCACAUCACAUUCAUGCAUUCAUUACCUGAAUUGGUUGGGUGUGGGAUAUUAUUUCCUCCCUGAAAUCAUUUUUGGUUUUACUGAUCUCAUACAAUUCAUCUGGACUAUCCGGCAGAGCUAGCUUACUGUUGUUUAUGGCUACUACUAUGACCUAUGAUCAUAACACAAAAGAAAUGUUUAUCACCUUUGUCACCACCCUUGUUUCUAUUUGUAGAUAUAUCCAUUAAGUAAUGAAAUGCAGGGAUAAAUAGUACUGAACCUGAGCUAUCCUUACGAUGGGGCUAUCGGCCAUCUCGGGUUCUCGUAUGCGGUAGAAAGGCUUGCCGAGUGCAAGAACAGUGAAACCUAUGAAGGUAGCCACAGUCGAUAUGAAGAAACCCCAAUACCAUU
rnacentral:lncRNA from 1 species